rnacentral:rRNA from 1 species
UUUGAUCGGAAUAAAUAUAAAUUCUUUUCUUAUUUCUAUUUUAUGAUUGACCAAUAUAAACAUCAACAACUUCAAAUUGGACUCGUUUCCCCUCAACAAAUAAAGGCUUGGGCUAACAAAAACCUACCUAAUGGAGAAGUCGUUGGCGAAGUCACAAGGCCCUCUACUUUUCAUUAUAAAACCGAUAAACCAGAAAAAGAUGGAUUGUUUUGCGAAAGAAUCUUUGGACCCAUAAAAAGCGGGAUUUGCGCUUGUGGCAAUUCUCGAGCGAGCGGAGCUGAAAACGAAGACGAAAGAUUUGGUGUUGCUCAUAUUUUACAAGAGAUACUUACUUAUAAAUCUGACCAUCUUAUAGCUCGCCAAGAAAUACUUAAUGCUACGAUCUGGGGAAAAAGAAUACCUAAUCAUGAGGAUCCUCCAGAAUCUUUUCGAGUGCUCGUUCGAGAACUACGAUCUUUGGCUCUAGAACUGAAUCAUUUCCUUGUAUCUGAAAAGAACUUCCAGGUUAAUAGGGAGGAAGUUUGA